UAUUAUCUCGAUAAUGCGUUAUC
rnacentral:siRNA from 1 species